CUCUGUUCUGUACUUCUGUGUCUCUUUUUCUGUUUUGCAUAUAGGGUUAUCAUUACCAUCUUUCUAAAUUCCAUAUAUAUGUGUUAGUAUGCUGUAAUGUUCUUUAUAUUUCUGGCUUACUUCACUCUGUAUAAUGGGCUCCAGUUUCAUCUAUCUCAUUAGAACUGAUUCAAAUGAAUUCUUUUUAACGGCUAAGUAAUAUUCCAUGGUGUAUAUGUACCACAGCUUCCUUAUCCAUUCGUCUGCUGAUGGGCAUCUAGGUUGCUUCCAUGUCCUGGCUAUUAUAAACAGUGCUGCGAUGAACAUUGGGGUGCACGUGUCUCUUUCAGAUCUGGUUUCCUCAUUGUGUAUGCCCAGAAGUGGGAUUGCUGGGUCAUAUGGCAGUUCUAUUUCCAGUUUUUUAAGAAAUCUCCACACUGUUUUCCAUAAUGGCUGUACUAGUUUACAUUCCCACCAGCAAGUUGCCUUUUUCUUUUGUUGAUGAUUUCCCUUGCUCUGUAAAAGCUUUUUAGUUUGAUGAACUCCCAUUUGUUUAUUUUUGCUUUUGUUGCUCUUGCCUGAGGAGACAUGUCAAAAAACUAUUGCUAAGACCUAUGUCAAAGAGUGUCCUGGCUACGUCUUCUUCUAGGAGCUUUAUGGUUUAAGGUCUAUCAAUUUUGUCUUUAAUCUUCCCUUGUUGUUGUUGAUUUCUGAAUGUUGUAUAAGAAAGGGGUCCAGUUUUCCCAUAACCAUUUAUUGAAGAGACAGCAUUUUGCCUGACGGAUGUUCUUGGCUCCCUUGUCAUAGACUAAUAGGCCAUAUGAGCGCAGGUUUAUUUCUGACAGAGCAUCCCCAACUCUACCCUCUGUAAAGGCUGGGGUGAAGUGAGAAGACCCGGUGACUUCAAUGUCCGUCCACUGCUGGUGGCACACCAAGUCUGGAUGAGGGUAUGCUAUUUUCUGUUCUCCAAACCAAAGAGACCAGGAUGCCAGUUCCAAAGGAAUCAUCAGGACUGUUGACUAGAAGACAGAAUGGAGAAUUGGAAUGAUCUUCACAGAGGUCUACUGUCCAGGAUCAGCUGUACUCCAGGAAACCAGACAACCAAAGAUACGUUCCUUUUUAAAUUACUAUACACUGCCACUGGACGAUUCAGGAGAUAAAAGUUUUCAAACACAUUGCACACCAAGGCAGGACUCAGAGAGACUAUUAAAAGUAUGUACUUAUGCCUAUGUCACAUCAAGAUCUAACUCACACACUCUUGAGAAAGAACACCUGUGAUGAUUUCAAUAUGGGAAACAUUUCCCCUGAAAAUACUUCAUUAUUUUGUCUCACUUUGUGACGUGGGACAGGAGGCAUGGAGGAAGGUGAUGCCAAGGAAAGAUGCCUACUUCUGAACCUGGUGAACACCGAUUUGAGCCCAGUUAUCCUGGUCAUCGACUGAUGUCCACAGGAUGUUUCGAUAUUGUUUCAAAAAUGCCAAUCAGCAAGGAGAGAAAGAGAAAUAACUCACAUAUAGACUCUCCAUUCUGCUCAUGGGGUUCUCAAGUAUGUCAAGGCUGUAUAUUGUCACCCUGCUUAUUUAACUUAUAUGCAGAGUACCUCAUGCGAAAUGCUGGGCCAGAUGAAGCACAAGCUGGAUUCAAGAUUAAUGGGAGAAAUAUCAAUAACUCCCGAUAUGCAGAUGACACCACCCUUGUGGCAGAAAGCGAAGAAGAACUAAAGAGCCUCUUGAUGAAAGUGAAAGAGGACAGAGAAAAAGUUGGCUUAAAACAACAUUCAGAAAACUAGGAUCAUGGCAUCCGGACACACCACUUCAUGGCAAACGAUUUCUCCUCAAAAGAAAAGCUAUGACAAACUUAGACCACUUUUAAAAAGCAGAGACAUUACUUUACCAACAAAGGUCCAUCUAGUCAAAGCUUUGGUUUUUCCAGUAGUCAUGUAUGGAUGUGAGAGGUGGACUAUAAAGAAAGCUGAGUGCAGAAGAACUGAUGCUUUUGAACUGUGGUGUUGGAGAAGCCUCUUGAGAGCCCUUUGGACUUCAGGGAGAUCCAACCAGUCCAUUCUAGAACAAAUCAGUCCUGAAUAUUCAUUGGAAGGACUGAUGCUGAAGCUGAAACUGCAAUACUUUGGCCACCUGAUGAGAAGAACCGGCUCAUUGGAAAAGACCCUGAUGCUGGGAAAGACUGAAGGUGGGAGGAGAAGGGGACAAUAGAGGAUGAGAUGGAUGGAUGGCAGCACCUACUCAAUGGACAUGAGUUUGAGUAGGAUCUGCGAGUUGGUGAUGGCCAGGGCAGCCUGGUGUGCUGCAGUCCAUGGGGUCGAAGAGUGGGACACGACUGAGCGACUGAACUAACUGAAGACUGUCCAACCGCCAUCUGAUACUGAAGAGGUGGGGCAUCUGCGAAAAAUAACUGUCCUGAGAGAACACGGAUCCCACUUGGCUAAAGAGGAUUCUGGUCCUGUGACACAAAAGCACACCUGGUGGGUCCUAGAGAGAUCGAUGUCUCCCUCUGCGUCUGUCCCUCUCUCUACCCCUGGCUCUCACACCUUCUUUCUCAGGAUCAGGUUCUCAACAGCAGGACGCCAAUGCAGUGGCUCCCAUCCUCAGCCCAUGCGAGAAGCUGGGAAUGGGCGGGGCUCGGCCUCCCAUCCUUAGUGCGUGUGGAAUAAAAUGGUAAAGACCACCGAGAGGAGUCCUCCAGCGUCCUAUAGAGCCUACCCGGCCUUCAGCGGGGAGGAGUCUGCGGGCCUGGUUUUAACGUCACAAAGAUGGGACAUUUACCCCUCCCCUCCUUAUAGAAGGACCUUCCUGCGUAUUCCCUGCGUUGUAGUGGAUUGAGAGGGAGCCUGGAAUGGCCUGAAGAAAAGCUCUGUAUUUGAUGCAAUCUCCUCCUCGACAUCGGGACCAUCUCCGCCUUGACCCCCAGUCUUUGCCACAGCCAAUUCCUGGAGAUCAGUUUCCAGAUGGGCCUGAUAAUCUAUGUGAGCCUACUUCUGCUGACUCCAAAGAUCCUGAGUCUGCCGUUUGAUCCUCAAGACAAUGCCUUCCUGUCCUGGGCUCCCUCCUACGCUGCAUCCCACAAUCAGUCUAACUGCUGGAUCAGUGGAGCACUCCCCUCUUCAUCAGUGGAAGGCUGCCCAUGGGGGACAUCUCCACUUCGAGGAAAAGACUUUCUCCAAGUCUGCAAAUACAUUCGACAACAAUCAUAUGUGAUGCCUCGUCUUCAUCUGAUGACAUCUAACAACCCUAAGAUGGACUGGUGCAACACUUUGUACUUUAACUAUGUACAUAACGUGACUUUUCAUUUUGAUUAUACAUUGUCUUGGUUUAAUGACUAUUUCGCUACACAUCUAGAUCUAGUGGCUUUUUACCUGACGUUUAUCAAAUACGGGAUGAUAUAAGGUUAUGUGGCGAACUCCUGAAAAAGGACGUCUAAUAUCUACUGCCCCUAUAUGCUGGGAACAAAUAGAGCCAUCCCCAGAAGUUAGCCAACAACUUAAUUAUGAUGAUUGGAAACAAUUGGGAUUUUUGCCUCAGGAAAUAUGCAAGUUAAUCAUUCCCGUACUUCCCAACCCCAGUUCAGGUCCUCCCUUUGCCUGGCCAGGCACUAAUUGGGACUGGAUAUCUCAGUCACGCUGGCUUGCUCCAAAUGGGACCUAUUGGAUAUGUGGCUCUUACCUAUGGGCAUGGCUUCCCCCUGGCUGGAUAGGGAGAUGCACCCUAGGUCUAGCUUUUACUCACGGCUUCAUAUUUUCAGAGCUUCCAGAAAAGCCUGCUAAUUUACCAUACCUUAAAACUCGGUGGGCAAGGUCUGUAUUUCACUGGUGUGAUUAUUUGGCUGCAGUGUUUGUUCCCUCUCUGGGAACCACAGAUGUUAUGCUAUGAGUGGAUGCUUUGACUAAUUUUACUCAACAGGUAUUACAAGAUUCUCAAAAAGCUAUUUCAGCUCUUAAUGCCAAACAAGCACAAAUUAGAAAGGUGGUUUUACAAAACAGAUUGGCCUUAGAUAUUCUGACAGCUGCACGAGGAGGAACUUGUGCCACUAUUCAUACCCAGUGCUGUACAUAUAUACCUGAUAUAAGCACUAAUGUUACUCAUUUUACUAAACACAGGAAUAAGAUGAUUCAGGCUAUGGAUACUCCUGCAGCCUCAAUUGCCUCACUUUGGGAGAUGUUAACUAGUUCCCCAUGGUGGAAAACUAUCUGAAUUACAAUACUUCUGUUUGUUCUGUUUUUGCUGUUUGCUCCCUGCAACUGUAACUUGUGUAGCUGGAUUUGAUUCUAGUUGCAUGAAGACUUUUAAGUUACAAAUGGUUGCUCAAACUCCUGUGACUCCUGCAGCUUCCUCUAACUACUACUUGGAGCUCCUGGAUCAGAGACCCUCAGUACGAGGGUUAGGAGAAUAUGUUGCCUCAUCAAUUUAGGGACAAUGCCCCUUAUCAGCUUGGAAGCAGUUAUGGAAUGAGACUGAUGCCCCUUUCCCUAGGCAACAUAAUUCUCCUAAAAGAAAAGGGGGGGGAAUGAGAGGAUAACAGGCAGGAAGGCGAGGGGUCUCCAAAUGGAGGAAAUAGGCUGCAAGUGUCAGACAUUUUUUCUCUCUCUCUCUUAAGAGGCAGGCGGAGAAGGCAAUGGCACCCCACUCCAGUACUCUUGCCUGGAAAAUCCCAUGGACGGAGGAACCUGGUGGGCUGCAGUCCAUUGGCUCGCUAAGAGUCGAACAUGACUGAGCGACUU